GCACUUGACUUAAACUCAGAGGACAUCUUGCGUGAGUCCAUCUCUGCUUCUACCACUUAGCUCUGUGAAGGAUUUGCUGGUAUUCUUUUCUCAAGAAGCCCCACCCCCAACCCGCCGGGUUUACUGAGACAGGAUCUGGAUGUAUAACCCAGAUUAUGGAUCCUGUGUUUUCCAACACCUUCUCAGUAUCAGUGUUCACCAACGUCGCAAAUGAAGCUGAGGGAAGCAAGCCCCAAUUCACUCACAAGCAGAUUUCUGAAAACUGACCACUCUCCCUUUUACCUAUUGCAAUGCCCGGGAGGAUUGGAGGCAUCCCUGAGUGACCCAAGGCUUGGUAUCUACAGAAUGCCUUUCAACUAGUGAAAUUGGGAAAAUGUUCACAGCACAGGAGUAAAUAAGAGAAGUAGCGCAGAGCUGUUUUUGUUUUUGUUCUGUGGAAUGCCAUUUUCUGUCUUUACCCUCCCUCUACUGUC
ensembl:antisense predicted gene 15008